CAUGACCUGUAAUUCAAGGUGUUGACCACUCAAUCCUCUGGAUUUGAAUUUUUAGAAACUGUUUCACUGGCUGUACGGUUGCAGGCAGCCACGAUGCUGAAGGAAAUUUGACAGCACAGAUAAUCCCACUGGAGAAAACUGCCUCAGGACUCCACCAACUUGCAGCCCUCUCUCCAGUCGUUUAUUCCUGCUCUCCUGCUUCAGAAGUGUGGUCCUGGGAGGUUAUCUUGCCAGCAAGAACCAGCUGGAAGCACCUGGGAGGCUGGAUCACUUAAGCAAAGGUAGAGAAACUGGAGAAGCAAGAGUGCAGCCUUAAAAUGCUAAAGAGAAGAAAAGGGAAAGAUUCGGAGCAAGAAUAUCCAUUUUCUUCCACACAGGCUCAGUGGCAGCCACAGUGAAGGGCACAUGCAAAAAGUGAGGACAUUUUGUGUGGCAGGCCUGCCUGCCUGCCUGGCUAUGGGUUGAAAGACCUAGAACACCCUUUUAAAGAACCAAGCUACUUCUAUAGGUAAGUUUACCAAGAAAAAACACAGUAUUUCCACACUUCCAAACUUGUUUUCAUUCUGAUUUCAUUUUGAUGGGGAUGUUUCCCGACUCCCAAAGCAACACACUAGAGCAGCUACAACCACAGGACAGGUAAAUGAGCUGAUAUGGAAGAUCCCAGGCUGUUCUAUAUGGGACAGAUUCUUGUCCAUGAAUUCUCUAUCUUAGGCAACUGCCAUAACUACUGCAUUCCCAUGGUGAAGAUCAGGUAACAUCUCAUUCACCAGAUAGGAGAACUUCAACUGGGGAGAUUCAAAGAUGAAUGGACUCUGUAGAUUGGACCUUUGGGAUCUUGAAUGUGGCUCUCCCAGCUCCCAGGUGAAUAUCCAAAAAGGAGUAAGGGGAAAGAAUUAGUGUCUCUGAUUAUGAAAAAUGCCUAAGAAUCUGUUUGCCUAAGAUUUGUUUUCCAUUCUUCCCUACCCAGGAGAUUUCAAUACUUCAGAUCUCCUGUAUUUCAUUUGAAAUACCCACCUUAACUUACAUGAGCCACUGUUUUCUUUACAACAAAAUAAAUCAAGAUAACUAACUGAAGUUUUAUACUGCUCUUUUCCUCAUACCAAGAGGCCAAAAUAGCCCAGUGUGAAUGACCCCAUCUACCACCAGCAGGAUAUUUUACAUUUACUGAAGAUUCGACCACGGUGACCGAGUAGCUUGUUCAACGUGGUGAUGGCAUUGAUUGGUAAGUGGAGUUAGUAGUCCCCUCAGCUGUCUGCACCAGUUCCCAACCAAAAAGGAAGGAGGAUUUUCUCUGUUGGUUUUUUUUCACCUCCCUGUCACAACAACAGCUUUAACUAGAUUUCAAGUAAUGUUUGAAUGCAAAACAGAUGUCACUUCCUCCUUGCAAACCCCUGAAGGAAUUUGGUGCUGUCUCCCAGGAUCCUGGGGAUAUCCAAUUUCCCAUUCAAACACAAGCAAUAGAAAAAGCUGAAAGGCAGAUUUUAGUGGAUUUCUCCUCUAUCCCAUGCCCGAACCUGUAACAUGAAUGAGGCUUUUGGUACCUUUGUCAUUCCUUUUUAAUAACUACUUCAUUUACUGCUUACAAAAGCCAGUCUUCUCUCCUCGUUACAACCUCCUAAUAAGAUUUCCCCCACAUCACUGAAGCCCAAUUGUGCUCAGAAACUGGCUGAUUCAGGAAACAAGGAAGUUUGGAUUACACAUCAUUCUUGCUGCCAUUCAAAGUCACUGAACUGCUUCCCAAGCAGCUCAUCUCUUCAGCAAGGAAAGAUUCUCCUGCCAGUGCCACUUCCAGAAUGGUGGGACAGGCUGAACAGCUAAAUGCUUUCCUUCCCUUCCCAGUUUACAUCUCUAAUAUCUGUGGUGGGAGAGAGAAAUCUAGCUGAGAAGCUAAAAUUCUGCCAACCCAAUACAACCCUUCUCUGUUGGCAUAUCCCUGCUGCUACAGUGAAUUUCACAACCACCAACCACCCUGUGCUAGAGAACUGUAGCAUUGCUGAAUCCAUCUGGAUCCAACCCCCUCAAUCACUUUACCAAUAACCCAGGAGCUCUGAGUACACCCAAGAAGCAAAGGUCCCUUAAUCUUUUAAUUCGCUGAUCCCACCAGAGUCGGAGGAACUUGGAGCAGUUCUGUUUCUGUGAAAAAUUGUGACUUCUCUUCCAGGUUUCCUCUGAAGACACAGAGUCACUUCAGCUGUUUCGAGUAACAGUUGAAAGCCUGCACUUUUUUUUUUCUCUUUCUUUUUACUAAGUUCUUCUUCCCAUUUUUGGUUGGUUUGUUGUUUUUUUUCCCCUUGAAGAAAGUGGCCUCCUUUGUCCCCAUCCAGAUGCAUUAGAUAAACAAAAUGGAGGGAUUUAUUACCCCUGUAAAUACAGGGUCUAAUCCAGUCCUACCAUCUGACUCAGAAGACAAUAGAGGCAAAGGAAAGGAGGAAGAGGAGAGACGCUGAGAGAUAAACCACUUACCAGGUCAUACUGCAUUUCAGUGAAAGUACCAGUGCCCUGUGCCCUGCUGAUACUGCUCUACUAACCAUUAGACCAUGAAAUCACCCUUUUUACAUGGCUGAGAAAAGCUUGAGGGCUCUAAGCAGUAAUAGCACUGUGGGAAUAAUCCACUGGACUAUCCUAAUUAUAAACUUUGUCUUGGGCUUCUUACUGCAAGGGCAAAGCUGUGCUGGGUCACAGUGUUUCUGACACUGUGUCAGACAUGGACUUUAGAAAUAACAAGCUCACUCUAACCCACAACCAUCAGCUCUGAUGCAUUCUUACCUCAAAAAAUGAAUCAAGGGGAGGAGAACAGCAUUUGGCUACUCAGCAUUUUGGCUGCUUUGCAUCUGGCUGCUCAGUGCAACCCUGACAGCUUUAUUAUACACACAGCAAAUGUUUUGGAAUGACAGGACUUAGCAGUGGUCCCCUUGGGCUGGAACUGUUUGAUUUCUAUUUAACACACUCACACAAACCAAUACAGACAAUACAGAGCAGGGAGCCAACUUUAAAGCAAAUUCCUCUCUGCAAUAGAGUAUGGGGUUCCCUAAGAAAGGAGCUGUUCCACUUGUCAGGCUGAUUAGCAGCAGCUCUGCCACUUUGGUGAGAGAAGUAGCAGAGAGGGUCCACUUGGGAGAGGAAAGAAACCCCUGCAUGAUUCAUUGAAUCACCCUGAAUAAUCCCAGGAAAAUCUGCAUGCAGAAACUUCUAUUUCCUGCAGGCAGAGUCAGCCCACAUAUGGAGGCUGCCAAGAAAUGCUAGGUGCAUAGAAAGCCCAGCUCUUCACAUUGACAAGCAGAGAGGGACCCACACACUCAUCUAGAAUUUGCCACAGAAAAUCAGAGAGAAAGGCAAAAUAUGUCAUCUGCUUUCUCCAGACCCCCGAGCCCUCAAUAGUCCUCCUCAGUAAGAAACAAUGUGGACCAGUGAUUCACAAGGGAGCCAAGCACUAGGACUCUAAAAUAGAGAAGGGGCAAAGCAAACCACCUUCUUGCCAAGCAUUAAAACAGCAGAAGUAAAGCUGGGACUUGCUAGUUUUUGAACCUUGGGCCUAGGGACAGCAGCUGAUGGGACCCCUGGCUCUCUGUAGACACCUGUUACAUGCUUUUCUGUGGCAACGAGAUAUUUCCUAAGCAGUCUGGCCCUGUGAAUAAGUAAAAUAUCAGAGCAUAUUUCCUGCCUGGGCUGCCCUUAGUUUAUGAAAGAAGGGCCUGAGGAACCAUUCUUCCUUCCAGAAAUUACAUACACAUCAGAGUUGAUGGCUACAUGAAGUUAACCAAGCCCUUAUUUCUUGAAGAGAACAAUGUUUUAGUGGUCACUAAUAUGACAGUGUGCACACUGUUACACAGGGUUCAGCCUUGGUGCUGGAGUUAAGGCCAAAUUUGAGUCUGUCCACAGAACUUCACCCUCUGGAACGGCCAUACCAGAGGAGCUGGUGCUGUUCAAGGCAGCCUCAAGAGCAUCCUAAAUUCCAGGCUGUGCAGCAGACCAUGCCUAUCUAACAACUUUUCCACUUUUGUCCAUCUAUCUCAUUCACCUUUGCUGUAACACCAUAGGAUUGAUACUGCCUGAAGACCUUCCUAAAAGGGACCUAUCACUGCCUCCUGCAAGAGCUGCUGAGAUCUGAAGUCACCAUGAUUUUUGGCACAGAAAUGUAUACUUCAGGGGCCAUGUCAUACAGUCACCCAGCUCAGGUAGAUAUGGGCCACACCAGUGACAUACAGUGAACAUUUCCGCCUACACAAGUGACAGUUCUUUUUCAGGUUGAAGUGCCAUCUUUUAUAAUCUUCACUUUUGUUUUUAGUGUUGGUGAAAAAACUCCUAAAAGAGUUAAAAAUGUUGUGUGACCAAAGCCCCCUACCUGUCUUAGGUUAUUAAAAACAAAAGCAAUGCAAAACACAACUGUCCAGCCCACCACCAAUUUUUCUCUUCUUAUCUCUUCCUCCCAAAUUAAAAAACAGCUUUUUGAGCAAAAG